rnacentral:sRNA from 1 species
UCUUUUUUCUUUCUGCCUCUGUCGUCUCUCUCGCUGGCUUUUUUUUUUUUUUUUUUAAUGAAGAACCGUUCCAUGAACAUUUUGCACAGAGCACAGAAUUGCUUCUAAAGUCAGUCCGGCGCGGUUGCAAUAGACAGCAAAAAGGUAAACGUUUGCCUGAAAUCCGCACGCCAGCUCCACCACCCCGCCCGAUGGUUCUGUAACAAUCAAGAAUGUGUGGACACCUACCUGUGGGAGGAGGCUUUCAGGGACAUUGUGUCUGGUUCCUGCUGACGCCAGCAUUCUGGAGAUGGACAGCUGUUCAAGGGAAUGAAGAUUCCCCCACAGGACAAGGACUAUUGCCUCCCUGAGUAUCCUAAAAGGUCUCUUGAAACAAACCAAACACUCAGAACUUCUGUGACUGUCAUGGACAGUGUCCUGUUACUGGCUUUAAACAGAGCCCCUCAUGCAGAAGAAGCCCUGUAUCCUGGAGUUAGAUGUCAAUCAUCCUGGGAAGGCUCGUCCAAGAACGCAUGCUUAGAAGAAAACUGUUUUAGGCAUCAUCAUCUAUCACGUGGAUGUCUCUGCCCAGUCCUCCCUUUCCACAAUCACCAACAAUGAAGCCCCAACGCGGGGAGUCCCCGAGUAGCCCCCAAUGCACACACCUGCUGCACGACGUGGGAGGAGCUUUUCUGUGGGAGCCGAGGCCACACACAGGACCCUGGGGAAGAACUCCCAAAGAGACUUACUUUUACGGAAGCCUGUGAUCCUUUAAGAAUGACCAACAGUGCAAAUCAAGUCAAAAGACUUAGAUGCUCUCUCCACUACUCCAUCUCCAGCACCUAGAACAGGUAGAGUAUGUAACUGAUGACUGACUGAAUGGCCCUGGGGAGAGAUUCACAAGAUCACUAUGGGGGGGGAGGUGGGCAGAAGGGAAUGUAAGGAUAGGGAGGUGUGUGCCAAGGUGUUGCUGGCAAUGUUGUGUGCAAAAGAAGAUAAGAUCUCUUGUUGACUGUUGUAAAAAGAAGAUGAACGAAGUGUUGUGUUCAAAUGAGUCCAGUUGAGUGUACCACAGACAAUGAUUGACUUCUUCCCAGUCCCUCACGGGGUAGUAUAGUUUGAGAGGUUUACAUUAAGCUUAUCCCCUCAGAGGCCCUCAGAGGAGGCAAUGAAUAGAUUUGCAAGGAAAAACAACAACAACAACAACAACAACAACAACAACAACAAUAAUAACAACAGGGACCCCACAUGCAAUUCAGGGGAAGUACUUUGAAGCAUUUCAAGGAAGACUCUGAGAAAUGAUAAUAAAGUUUAACGGGAAGGAAUAUUAACUGAUAUGAUUUUCUUCCAAGAAGCAAUUUUGGAUAUAAUAUUUCAAGCUCUAAGUUACAAACUCAGUGACUAGACCUUGAAUGCUUUUAUUUGUGUCUUGGGGUUUCUGUUCCUUCAAUUGAAAAAGAAAAUUAUUAAGAUGAUUUUUUUUCCAGAAAGAUUAAUGGGUAUAGCAUUGGCUGACCAGUUUCCAUAAAACUAUAGUAGCAUAGAAUCACCUAGAUUAAGAACUAGGUUUAAAUCCUGGGACGGCUUAGUAAUACCAGUGCUCAAUUAAAAAUUCCGUAGCAUUGAUUUGAUGAAGAAAAACGUCAUGGUAUGACUGCAACUUUCCCUUCCAGUUGUUAUUGGACACGUUAAUGGAGGGAUGUCCUACAUAGGCUUUGGCAGUCAGAAGGCCAGUUCUCAAAUUAAAAUGAAGUUUCAAAUCCGAGCAUAGGGACAAAAUAAUUUACUUGAAGGGUAACAAAGGAGGUUCUUGCCUAAAAAUAAAUGUGAUAGAUUUGGCUUCAAUGUUAGGUGGCACUUCUUUAUAAUUUUUGUAAACCUGAAAUCUUUCAUAAUUCACACAGAUAGAAAUGCUAGCCACUUGAAGGUGAAAAAUGGUACUGUAUUUUAUUUUACAUUCUCAAUGUCUAGCACCUGUUUCUUGGUAUGUAAACAAUCUAUUUAACUGUUUUUGAAAGAGCAGACUAAAAAUAUUUUGUCAAUGUGUGUGUGUGUGUGUGUGUGUGUGUGUGUGUGUGUGUGUGUGUGGUGUAUGCAUGUGUGGUAUAUGUGUACAUAUGUGGGCAGAUGCAGAGGCCACAGGAGGACAUUGGGUGUCAUGUUCUAUCUUUUGAGACAGGACUUCUCAUUGAAUGUGGGGCUAGGCUGACAGUCAUCAAGCCCCAUUCAUUCUCUCUCUCUCUCUCUCUCUCUCUCUCUCUCUCUCUCUCUCUCUCUCUCUCUCGUGCUGAUACACACUGAACUCCUAAUCCAAAUCCAAGUUGUUAAUUUUUGACAGAGUCGCAGAAUGUGAUGUCUUGCUGUGCACACCCUUCCGAUAACGAGCCCAGCAUAAAAAGAAAGCAUGACCCUAGACGUGGAGUGAAUGGAGUGUGCAGGUUCCGACGAGUUCACUGCGGCUCCAGUGGGGAUCGGGCAGGCUCCAAGCACUAAAUAACCCUAAUGAUAUCAGGACUGGUCCUGCUUGCUCCAUCUACACACUGUUGGUUAACAGUGGACCCUCUGACUCUCAUGAGGAUGACUGGACAUGUGACAGAAGACCAGGAGUCCGGGAGGCUGCCCUUUCCUGCUUUAACUUUGUUCUGUCAGAAUUGAUAAGAUUUCGAUUUCCAGUUAAAACCCGCCAUCGGGUGUUCAGCAGGACAGUGAAAGAACGCCCGGCACACUGAACCAACAGUCAGAGGUUGAACCUACCAGCAAAGCUGGCUCUGAUGGACAAACGCUUCCUAGGGCUCCUUCCUGAUGCAGCUGCUAUCUGCAGACCUCCUGGACUGCCCUGGGAAGGGAGUGGGAGCUCCUGCCACAGAUGGGCGGAACAUCGGCAAGAAGGGUUAAAAGUGGCCAAAAAUAACAGUGCCUUCCAGAUGAGGUGACCUCAGAGCCAAGAGCAUCAUGGGCUAGUGGCCUGCCAAUCACAGGACAUCAGCAUGCGCAGAGCCCAGCAUCUUCUCCAGGUUCAGCUUUUACAUCUUCCUUUGGAGGGCCUACUCCGAUCUCAGGACCGCAGGUGAGGUGCUAUCUUUGGUAAGCAUUUUCUCCGUCUAGUCACCACUAAAAGCACUUUUCAUCUGGACCUUUAGUCUCUGAAUACCAACCAGGGUGGAAGUCACCUUUAAUCCUCACAGAGGUUGAGUUUCUUUCCUCUUAGUACAAAGCCACAUAUAUCCACUGUGGAGAAUUUAGAACACACAGAAAAGCAAAAUUAUAUUUGUGUGCACCAUGACUACCCUUUGAUGUGGGCCCUGCUCGAUAUGAUGAUUUUUAUAGACAAAACCCAGCCACACUUAGAUGGGAAAUACUUUCUUCUGAGCUGCUUGCUGGCUGGUAGAACCAGUUCCAUGGAAUGUCAGUGCCAGGCCCCAGCUGAUUGGCAUAGGGCUGGCUAUCGCCCUGGUUGGGCAUGUAUCUGCUCUUUCUUUCAGAUUCAAUCAGAUAGUGUCUGAGACUGGACCUAUAAUAUCUCACUGAGGUAGGAUUAGUCACUGUGCCUGGAAACUUAGCGCUUUGCUGGGGAAGGUGGUUUGUAGGAGAGAAUAGGGGAGACUGUGAGACACUGAGGGAAAGUCAGAGUUAAAGGAAGCAGAACACCACACACCUGGUCCCAGUGUUCUCCGUGACUUUUCUCAGGUGGCCUUGCCUCCGGAUCUUGACUCUGUCCUUGAGCAGUGUCUCUGAGAUGCCGGUACCUGCAUCUAACCAUGCCUGCCCAAGAGGAUUGCUUUUUGUAAACUCCCUUUGCAAUGAAUAAUAGACUUUCUCUGUGUAUCAUCUGAUCAUCCAGAUUAUAAUUUUCAAUAUGGUAGGUCAAGUGCUGUGGGGGGAGGGGCACUGCAGCUAAUGUGAGCAGCUUGAGCUCUGGUUUGGAAUAACACUGAGUUCACAGGCCCUUCCUCAUCUCCUUUGCUGUGUGAUUCAGUCAGCCGAUGAACACUAUUUAUCUCAGUAUUUUCAUCUGUAAAAUGGAAAAUCUCAAGAAAUCUUAGAGUUCCUAGACUUAAACUUGCAGUAUAGCAGAGGGUGACCUUACAUUCCUGACUCUCUUGCCCUCAUGUCCACGACGUGCUGGGUGAUCUGACCUGGUGCUGUUGUUAACAAUCACAAACGGUUCUCUGUCAACAGUCUUCCUAGUUUUAAAACACGACAGUAAGAAUUCUUUCAGAGCUGAGCCUUUAGGCAUUGGUACUCCUUGGGCUGAGUGACCCCCACCCUGAAACACUGGACCAGAGAUCAUGAGCAUGAAAAAUGCCUAAGUGUGGUUCCCGCAUCACUGCUGCCUGUGGAGUGUCUGCUACCCAAGUCUCUGCCAUCCUUAUCCCUGCCCUUUCUGUGGCUUUGGAGAAAGUGCAUUUCCUUCCAUGUCUGCGGUGUGAUCUAUACUCAACUUCCAACGAAACAAAGACUGUCACAUCUGACCUCCGGAGCUCUUUCAGUUCCUCUUUUCCAGAUUCUAAUUAACUUAAAGGAGUGGAGACUAAAGAAAAAAUUCAAUGUGGUCUUAAGGAAAGCUAAGACACAAACUUGUAUUUGAGCACUGCUUCUAUGUACACAGACCAUGAUUUUGUGAGUUACUUGAAUUUUUUGAGGUUCCUUUUAAUCCUCUACUAUUGAAUGAAUAGUGAACUCCAAGCAUUACACUGUACCUGAUGCUCCUGGUUGCACACUAAGGGCUGAAUAGAAGAAGAAUUCUAUUGGCAAUGGAGAGAAGCUGGAAGGGCUUGCACUAAGGAAGAAUUCACAGCUCUCACUAGCAAGAAGUCCAGGAUGAAAAACUUAGAAAUUAUCCCUGUUCUACCUAAAAAGCAGACAUGAGAAUGCUCAAAGCAUCAGCACUAUAGCAGAACUCACCAUAGGAGUUUCUGCUGCCGGAAACAUAUCUAUGUUAUCUGACCUAGACAGACUGAUCUUGUCGUGAGAGAGUGAGGAGAACUAGCAGAUGAAAUGACCAAAGUAUCCCACUCAUCCCCAGAGAACUGUGACUUCAGGAAAUGACUGGAAACCAAAGGUAUGCAAAUACUGCUUUACUUACACAUGUUUCAAAGGUAAAUGUUGGAAACAGAUGAGACACCUGAUAGCCCACUUAAUUAGAUUGGGAACUUAUUGAGGCAGAAUUUAAGAGCUGUUUACAAUGGGAUCUUUUUGACAUUGUGUAGUGGAAGAGGAUUGAGCUAUAGGACAUGGGUUGAGAAGGAAACAGUGGGUAGGGUAGGAAUAGAAACAUUUAGUUUGUUCAUGGUUCAUAAGGGUGUCUUGUCUACUCACUUCUUGCUUUCUAGGGUGAGUGAGUAGCUAGGGAGAGAUGAUGUAUGCCAGGCUUUUAAAGCUGUAGGUGCUCAUGGACUCAAGGGCUCUUGUUAGACUUCUGAUUCAGUAUUUCUGGGCUGGGCCCUGCAUUUCUAAGAGGUUCUUUGAUGCUGUUCUUGUUCCUUGCAUCACACAUUGACUUCAGCCUAUGGGUUAAAAACUAGCAUUAUAAUUAGUUUCUGAAUCAGUAAAUGUGGUGGUUUGAAUGUGCUUGGCCCAGGGAGGAGUGACACUAUUGGGAGGUGUGGCCUUGUUGGAGUAGCUGUGGCCUUGUUGGAGGAAGGGUAUCACUGAGGGGGUGGGUUUUAAGGCCCUCCUCUUAGCUGACUCAGUCUCCAGACUGAGCACAUUUCUCCAUCUCUAGUUGCCUCUGACGUCUGUGGGAAUUUUUCCUCUCUGGGUUGCACAAUCCCAUUGUGAAGUGCACCACUUUCUGUUUGUGCCUCGCUAUGGCAAUAAUUUCCUAUCCAUGUUUUGGAUUGUCCAGAGAAACAAAUUUAGACUACACAUGGACAUUGACUCCUGUUUGCAGGCCACUUCAUCCAUUUGGCCUGGGAAUGCAACACUCUAUGAAGCUUGUCUCAUCUGAGCCUUUCUUUGCUAGAGUAUUUUGUUUGUUUUGCUUUGUUUUCUAUAAUGAAUUUCUUGGAGGAGGAAAUACAACUGAUCUUUUGUUUAUUUAUCUUUUAAAAAGUUGGCCUUUUAAAAAGAUGAGGACUUCUACAGAAAAGUGUCCCAGAUGCUUGGACACGGUGGCACACUCUUCUAUUGCUAGUGCUCUGGAGGAGUACCACAGCAGUUCCUAGCACUUAGUAGGUACUGAAUCAAGGAACCCUGUCUCUAAACAAACAAAUAGCAAAGGAAAAGGUGAAUCAGAAGAAAAGCUAUAACUCAUACUGGCAAAUGAUUUAGAUAUCUGACAGAAGACAUAGAUGGAAGGACAAUGUACCACAGCCACCAAAACCAAGGAGGGUAAGAUCCCUGAUCCUUAAAGGGAAGGCUUUAAUGGAGGCAUACCAUUUAAAACUCAGUGCUCUGAAGUUUCUCACUCUCUGCACUUUUUCUUCUUCUGGGUCUCUGGAUUUGUUCUCAAGAAGCUUCUGCAAGAACCACCUUCUCUGAUGUGGGCUGAGUGAGGUAUUGGUCUACAGGUAUAACAAAAUGUCAUUAACAGCCAUUUAAUUAUUAUAUUCUUUAGCAGCAUUAUAGGGAUUAGGCUUUUCUCUAGACCCAGGACCUAUUUAACCUCAAGUUCUUGACCUCCCAAUCAGUAUAAGAUAUGGGUUCCAUAUGAUGGAGAGGGCCUUAAAUCCAAUCAUAAAUUCAUUGGAUACUUCUGCAAUGUUUGUGCCACUAAUGCACUAGCUUGUCUAGAGCCAGGUCAGUGUCGUAGGCUGCAGGUUGUUUCACCUGGGAGAUAUUGACAAUUUAUCUUUCUCUUCUGGGAGAAUGCAGAGUAUCUUUCACUACUAUGAAUGCUAGUCAGUAGGGAUGAAGCUUCUAGUUAGGUACCCACUCAACUUCUCUGAUAACAACACACUUUUAAGGUAAUACUUGUUAUUAAGCAAUAAAUGGCCUAUUAGCAAACUGAACCCAUUCAUAUAUGUAAAAUGCAAGCAUGUUAUAGGACCACUAGAUACGAUUUAUCACUAGUAUACAAGAGUAAAUUCUAACCAUUACUAGGAUACAACGGUUAGUAUAUCCUAACCAUUACAGCUGUAUAUAUACAAAUUAGCUAAUCAUAACAUGCAUAAAUAAUGGGCAGAUUUGAUUGGUUGUAAUUUAGGUGAUGGUGGCUAGUGGGUGUCAAAACUCAGGAUUCUGGCAGCUUGUAUAUUUCAGUGGUUGGAAGGAAUCAAGGGUAGACAUGGGGGUGGGGAUGGAGUAAUCUAACCUUAGAACAAGACUGUGGAUCUUUGUGCUUAUUGAUUUAUUUCCUGGUUUUUAAAGAAUGUUUCCAUUUUGAAAAUACUUUGAGGAAUUCAUAUAAUGUAUUUUUAAAAUAUUUAUCCUCUACUUCUUCUAACACCUACUCUUGCCUCCCUAUCCACAAUGAACACACACACACACACACACACACACACACACACACACACAUACACACACACAGAGUUCAAUAUCUGUUGUCCAUAUAUUUUUUCAUGGAUGUCCAUCCAUUGGAACAUCAUCCAUCUACCAGGACUGUAUCUUUAAAUAAAAACUACUUUCCCUCUUCCAGGAGCUAUCAGUUCCCAACAGCUCCUCAACUAGGGAUGAAACACAGUGUGCCCAACUCCCCUCUUCAUGCUGAGAUUUUGUUUCCUGGCUUGAGAUUUCAAAGGCCAUGUGCAUGCUAACUAAUGGUUGAGAAGCAUUCCUUUAAGUUGUUCGCCAUGAUACUUUUUCACUUUGUAGGAUACACUCGAGAGAGGAGUGGUAAAUAAGAAGCACUGACAGGAAUUUCACUAGGUGUCAUGAGGACAGGGCAACUUAGAGUUUCAAUGGACCUGGUGUUAAUAUAGGGCCACACAUUUGUACAUUCAUCAUUAGCAUGCAGUUUACUCUAUGCUUGGUCAAAGAGCAGAAAACAAUAUAUUUAAAGGGAACUUUGUAAGCUUCCUUAGAGAAUAUGAUUGUUUAAGUUGGUUACAAAUAGUCACUUCAAAUGCUGACGGAUUUCACCCAUGGCACAAGACCUCCUGGCAAUGUUAGGCCCCCUCCUGAGCCUAUAACUGCAGUCAUUGUUUUUUGUAGGUCGUUAGAAUGCUUUUGCUGCUGGUAAUUCCAGAGGCACACAUACAAAUGCUGGGAAGAUAUCUGUGACCCCUGAUUUUCUCAGCUGUCCUCGCUGGACACUUAUCUGCAGGGUGCACCAUCUCUGAGUGAAAAAUCUUCUAUCCUCACCAAGAGGAGAUAUUUUCUUUCCUACUCAGUAUAGCUCUAUUUGAGUCCCUGGGACUCCUAUGGGACUCUAAUGAUGUCAGAGCAGGGAGGAGCUUUCCGGCUAGGUUUUUGUCACAGGCAGCCUUUAACCCUAUUCUGAAGAUUCUUUCUGCUUCAUCUGUGUCUGGCAUAGUCCGAGAGUUAAUUUAAAGGAUUUCCCUUUGGUUUACCUUGAGAAAGUGGACUCUCUAGUCCACUUCUGGAGCCUUGAAAACCUGACACCUUUCCUCUAAUGAGGAGAAUCAUCUUUGACUACAGGAGAGCAACAGUGUAGAGCUCUGUCUAAAAGAUUCUGCUAAGGAAAUUUAAACAAAGCAAAUCAUGGACACCUCAGCUGCAGGACCCUGUUACUUAGGUUGGGAUGAUGGCUAUUAGGUCAGUGACUGUAAGUCUAUCCUAUAAACACAGAUUAUAAGAUUUAAACAGGGGCUUUGCCUCACACAACAAUGAUGUCAGCAGCCAAUGGUAGGAGCUGCCCUGCCAUUUCUGUUUUAUCAUUUAAAGAGACAGUAUCCAGACUUCUAGUCUACAUCUAUCACAUAGACAUAUUGAUUUCCUUUCUAGAGAAACACAUAUUUCUUCCCUCAUGCUGAAAAGAUAAAUCUGACAGAUUUAAUCAAAUGUAGUUGUUCACAACUAUAGAAAUGUGUAUAGUACCUCAUGCGAAAACAAAUCACAGUAGCUUCUAAAGGAAGAAUUCUGUGCACUGUAUUACUUAUAGACAAAAAUUGUACUACCACACAUGUCUGGAAAUAUGUGUACAAACAUACACACAGAGGCAGUGAUAAGAGCUAAGUGUAAUGUUAAUUUGAGGUACUAUGUUUAAAAUGCCAUCAUCAACAAAUGUUGGUUUAAUUAACAUUUCUACUGAAACUGGGCUCUUGGGCUCAGUUGGUCCUGUGCUUGCCAAACAUGCAUGGAUCCCUAGUUCAAUCCCCAGUACACAUAAAGCCAGUGUACUUGUACAUGCCGACAAUUGCAAUACUCAUAAGGUGGGAGCCAGAGACUAUAAGUUCAAAGUCAUCCUCAAUUAAUCAUUGAAUCAAAGCCUGGGAUAGAGGAGACACUCUCUAAAUCAAAGUAAAACAACUACCAUCACAAAACAAAACAAAAUUAUUAAAAACCACAACCUCAAAUUAUUUUCAACUUCUUUAUGAAUCUGAGACUCCGCAAUGUGUAAUGGUCCUAGAGGAUGAAUGUUUUCCCAAGAUGCAACCUGACUUUCAGGCAAACAUUAUAAAAAUGUGACUUGGGAUCCUGAAGUGUCUCCAUGCCUCUUGUCCAUCCAGCUCCUCUCCACAUUGGGUUUAGUCCUUGACUGUGAUUUGAACAAAUACGAUGCAGAGCAAUUUCAUUAUUUCCCUUAGCAACUCUGAGUGGCUCUUAUAGUUUUCAACACAUUUGACGAGAGCUAAGACCUUUUUCUUCAGAAUGUAGAUGGACAUUUAAGCUGAUGACAUUAAGAUGAUAUUCAAGAGUCUGUGGGACAGAGACUCAACAUAAAAAGGUUUUGGCGCUUUUUAUCUCUUUCAUUGAUUAGUUUGGUUCCCAUCAUUUUAGGCAGAGUUGGUCUUAAAUGGUAAUUUUCAAUAUCUGAGUCUUCUUUCCUAUGAAGUAUAGAUAUGAUUGCAUAUUCAGUAGAAUUUCCCAUUUUGGAUGCCUCAUUUUUGUAUCUGCUAGUAAUCUCUUGCUUUACGAUCUUGGCAUACAUCUUGUGCCAGCUCAUUUUAAAGGUAAAAUUUAAAAAAUUAAAACAAAACUGAAUCUGUAUCAUGAGUAGAAGUGUGCAAAAGCUACCCAAAGACUUUUUUAAGCAUUUUAUCAUUCAACAAGCUCCACGUUUUGCAUUUUAUUCUCCUAGUUUUGAUAUUAUAUUAAGAUAAGUGAUUUAAGAAGAACUAUUUAUUAGAAAGGAACAUGUUACAGAAAAAUAAUGCAUAUAUAGUGGCUUAUUGUGUGGGAAGAGUUAUAAUUGGUUUCAUUGGACAAAACCGGAAAACAAUUUCUCUUUUAAGAUGGGAGGUUUAGAAAUCUAACCACAGUAUGUUGACAUUGCAACACACACACACACACACACACACACACACACAUGUAUGUGCAAUAAUUAUGUCUUAUAAGCCAAUUAAAUUGUAAGAAAUUACUGAGGAUCCACCAAUCACUUUGGCUGGAAAUUGAGCAUAGGAACUCAGUACUUUUCUUCUGUUCCAUCUAGACAAGGUCCUUCUGAGAAGUACAGAGAACAGAAAGUGUGGAUGCAGCAUGGUUGAUCAGGAGGUGCCUUGCCAGAAUAGUUUUGUUCUUGUUGCUUGAUUAGGAGAGGCCGACGUUUAAAUUUUAAGAGAAAUAGAUGACAAGAUUAAGAUAAAAGUAAGUAUGCAAAAUGGAUGGACUCAUUCUUUUAGAUAAUAUGAUGUCUUCUUUAACCCCCAGUCAUAAACUCGGUAACUAAACAUUUGUCUCAAUUUCUGCCUGACUGGUAGAGUUUGAAAUUUUAGCCCCAAAUAAAAGGCCUUUCUGACCCAGAGAAUAUGUGAUUCUUUCCUAAAAGAAUGUUUGUGAUUCUCCAAACCAUGGCUGCAAGAUAAUGUGAAGAGGAGGCACAAAAUAGGGCUUAGAGGAUGAUUUAAACAAACUGCUCAGACAGUAAAUUAGCCCUUCCCCGCCCUGUGUGGAGUUCUCCAAGACAGAUGUAACCCAGAGUUGGGUUCUGAAACACUAAGUUUGCAUGCUUAGUAAGGUUCCUUCCUUCCUUCCUUUUUUCCUUUCUUCCUUCCUUCCUUCUUCCUUCCUUCUUUCCUUCCUUCCUCAUUUUUUGUUUACAAAAGAAGCAAUUCAUUUGUAGGGCAUUUCAAGCUGGCAAAUGGCCAACAAUAAUUUGUAUCACAGCCAGGUGCAAAAGGUAUUGAGAAACACACGGUACAAGAAUAUUCUGAAAAGAGGAAAACAAAAUGGAAAGUUAUUCAUCUUUCUAUAUGGCCUUUUUAAAAGCUACUUACAAUUUCAUGCUGUUUACAGGCAUUUUUGUCAAGUUUCUUUGUUGAGAAGGCAGAAGAGUGAGGCUUUCGUGAGAGAUUCACAAAGGGACUGAAGGGAUUCCGAGUGACAGUAGAGUUUAGCCGGUUGUUUGCAAGACUUGCUAACUAGGAGAGGGGAAGGCUGAUCUCCUUUGCUUCUCCAGAGAGGACAUUUCAAGAACCUUACUGAUGAUGAAAGCUGCCUCUGGUGUCAAAUAGUUUUUCCCCCUUUCUUCUUCAUUUUUCUCCUUCUUGACUGACCUACAAGAUGCCUCAUCUGAGUGAUUGGUGUUCUGGGACGAGGGAAGAGGCUGGCCACCCCGGUGCUUCCUUGGCAUGCUGGUUAAUGUUAUGAGGAAAGAAGAAUUCUCAAUUCUAGAAUAGCCACACAGAGUCCUUAACUGAUGGCAACAAGAUCAUGGCCCAGAAGAAUGUUCAUGAAUAGAGCAAACAGAAGGGCAUAGAGCAGAACAAUGGCACUGGGAGUCAGGAAGGUCAACUGAGAUGCAAAACGAGUGGAGAAGGCAUAGAGGGAGCUUCCCUUGGGUGGUCUAACCAGGACGAAGACCUCAUUAGGCACUCCCUGAUACAGGUUGGCUGAAGCACCCACAUGGGGUAUUGAUCUACUUCUGAGAAGGCUGUCAAGAAAAACAAACAGGAGGCUGCCACGGUGCCAAUUUGAGGGCAGAGGCUUCCUAGUCUCUCUAAUGCCAGGGAAAAACAAACUCUCCACCAUCCGUUAGUCGUUGGCACUUUAAAGUAUUCCAACUAAUCUAAUUUAUAGAAUGACGUCUUUGGUGUUGUGGUCAUUAAAAAUACAUGCGGCCUCUUUCUUUCUUUGGAUCCGUUCUCAGAUUGUUUCAGAUGAACAGCUAAGCACAGUCCUUUCCUCCUGGGACUUGAAAAGAUGGCGGAAAUGUUGUUAUGUGCAUAAACAGCACAGAAUGCAGUAAGGAAUAAGAAGAGAGAUUUGCAUGGUGGGUGUGGAACUACAUGUGAAGCUCAGAGAGAGCACAGGCAGGAAAGAGUAGGGAAGUAGUAGUUCUUGGAUAUACAACUCACAGGGAAGAACCACGGUAGACAGGAGGGCCAGGGCCAGGCAGGCAGGAGAGAGUAGUACAGUAGCCAGUAGCGUAAGUGGGAUGCAAGGGUUUGCGUUGAAGCCCAGGGCAGCUGUCGAAGCUCGAAGCCUGCUCUUCGAAGUCAAGGAAGAGAUAACAACUGAAGUACUGGGCGGUUCUAUAGUCGCAAUUAGCUUCGUGUGCCAACUCUCCAUGUGCACUUCAACCCUUUCUAUUUUCAAAUCAUCAUUUAGUUUUUGAAGUCAGUUAGAAAUUAGUUUUAAUGUUAGUGUUUCUAUAAGUAAGAAAAAUGGUGGUAAUGAUUUCAUGUGUGUGUGUGUGUGUGUGUGUGUGUGUGUGUUUUGCAGGCAUAUGUGUGUUCGUGUGUGUGCAGGUAUACAUGUGUGCAGAAGCAUGUCUAAGUGUGUGUAUAUGCAGGCCUGAGGUUUUGUUCUUCAGGAGAUAUCCACCCUACUUUUUGAGACAGCCUCUCACUGUGGCUUACCAGUGAGACCGUACUGAUUCGCCAGUGCAACUCGGGAGUUCCCCAUCUUUGCCUUCCCAGUGCUGAGAUUGCAGCCAUUGUGCCCAGCUUUUCACAAGGGCAGUGAAGAGUCACCUCAGAUCCUUAUGCCUGUGAAGCCGACACCUUCCAUUUCUUCUACCUGGUUGGCAGACAUGACGAAGGCUGGAAUGGGAUCUAUGGAGUGGCCACCAGUGGCCAGGUGGGUGACUAAUAAAAGCCUAGGUUUGUCAAGGAUCUGAUUGUAGAGAGCUAACCUUAAAGAACCCUGAAAAUCAGGAAGAAAUGCACCCUAUGUAAGAAGAUUAUUUAUUUAAUCCUUAGCCCUGAAAACACUCCGGCCAUACUGUCAACAUAGAGUCCAGCACUAAAGUGUGACAAGCCUCUGGUCAACUUCAGCUUGCUGGCAGUUCCAACCUCAUAAGUCUCUUCACUGAACCCUAACAUUGGCCCUAGAAUACCAGCUUCUACCUUCCACUAGAACUCCCCAGUGAGGAUCCCAUCACAGGCUUGAAAGAGUUAAUGCAGUCAGGAUACUUUCCUCCCUUCCCCCUCCAGCCUGGGAGCCCUGCACCAGCUUUGUCCAUCCUGGCAUGCAUUAGGUUCCUAGUAUGUGUUUUCUUUUCCCCUGUGUUUAUAUCUCUGUUUUCUGUAAAAAUCUCCUAAACUUUAGCCACGUCUCCCAAGAUCUUUGACAGUGUUAUAAAUUUCAUUAAGAAGAUGGAGCCUUCUAGGGCAAUUAACUCUAAAAGUGGCACAAAGCAAGAGCUGGAGAGAUAGUGGCUGGUGGUACUUAGCGCUGAGUUCUGAAAUUGAGAUAAGCCUAUCCACCCCGGGGUUGUGUUUAAUGUUCACUGCCGCUUCCACACCACUGCUACAACCUCGCGGUCACCGUGCUAACACUCCCCAAUAUCUAUUACAAUUAGUUUUUGAUUAAGAGGCCUAACAUGGCUUUUGAAGCUUUUUAUGUUGUGUCAAAUGGCCGGUGAUGGAGUGAGCCGUGCAGACACCUCCCUGUAACAAAGUGUAUUGUAAAAGGUUUCAAGUGAACUAUUUUAUCAUCCUAAUGGAAACCAGAUGACUUGGACUCUCCCCUUAAUUUCAACUAUUUACUGAAGAGUCCUUGUUUUGAAUUACGGAAAGAUUUAUUCUGAAAUAACGACCUCAUGCAUUAAGAAUCGCUAAUAACAGCCAUUGGAAAUUUGGGAAAGCUUUUAAAGAUAGCCCAAGAGGUUUUUUUCACAGAGGGUUUAUCCUCGUUUAUUCUCUCCAAUGGUUUUUAAGAGAGCACAUGCCUUUGCCCUUUUCUGGUAUUUAAUUAUUAUUCUAAUUAUUGUUUAUAAGGAUUUUCUUUGUCUAACCCCAGCUUUUCCUGCCAGGGUUUCUUUCCAUACUCUUGGUCUCUUACCUAAGAGAAAGGUCAUGGGUGUUUUGUCAAGAAAGAGAAACUUGGCUUAGUUGUGUAAUGUAUAAUCCCACGUGCACUGAAAAUGCAGGCGUACUUUCAUAAAGGUUCAGAUGAAACAGAGAAAACUGACCAAAACAAAUUCCGCUACACCUGGAGAUGUCUCUGCAAGAAGAGCACUUGUCAUGCAAGCAUGAAGUACCAAGUUCAGUGCCCUAGAAUCCCCAAGUAUGAAAGAUGGGUGCUAAGGUGCAUGGCUGUAAUCAAAACACUGGGAAGAGAGAGACUAGAUCCCUUGGGCUUGCUGGCCCAUCUGGCUUUAGCUAAAUUGGUGUGCUCUAGACUGUGCGAAAGACUUGUCACUCUCAAUUAGCUAGAAAGUGAUUGAGGAAGACACAUGAUUUCAACUUCUGGCCCCUACACACACAUUGCAUAUACAUAUACAAACACAUACAGGUACAUGUUUGUGAACCAUAGGAGAUAUUUGUGAAUAGAACAAAGAUGACUUGUAAGUGGCAUAUAACUCACUUGUGGGGUAGAUAAGAUAACUUUUUAAAAUAUAAUUUCAGUGGGUAAGUAAUUGUGUCCACUCAGGGGCUACAGUGUAGUGUCUCAGUCUACCUAGCAAACGCUCUCUAAUCAUUGGAUCACUGCAUCAACACCCUGGGCACUUACCAUUUCUUUGUGUAAGAACACUCAAAAUCUUUUCUGCAAGCUAUUUUCAAUUACACAAUGGACUGUUCACCACAGUGUUCAAGCUUGGGUAUUUAUUGUCUCCCCCCAAAAGUCCCUGUGUUAAAGGUUUGGUCCCCAGAGUGGUGGUGUUAGGAAGGAGGGAUGAAUGGGAGGUUUUGGGCCUUUGGGGACAUGCUAUUCAAGGCUCUAUAGGACUAUCGACACUUCUUAUCCUUUAGCCUUCUAGCCAUAAGCUUUGUUCUGCCAUGCUCUCCUAACUAUGGCCAUCUGGCCUUCCCACUGGACACCUUAAAUCAAUGAUUCUGCCUGUUCAUGGGACAGGGCUUCCUAAAAUAUCAUUCAAACAUUCAGAAGAUGCCACCCUUCUUUAGAAGUCAGUUAUCUUGGGCAUCUCAUUCUAGUGAUGGAAAGCUGACUAAAGCCAUUAUCCUACUGAGCUAUAGAAGGCCAGAAGCCAUUUCUCCUCUUCAGGUGCACCCUGGGACCCACUGACCAACUUCUGUACAUCUCCCCUUUCUCUCCUUCCCAGUCUGUGGGACCUGUCCUCUACUCUCUACUUCCCUAAGAUUCUACACGGCUGACAUUUUAUGGUUUCUGUCUUCCAGUGCCUGCUUACUCCAUUGAGCAUAAUGCUCUCUCAAUUCAUCCAUGCUGCCACAAAUGACAGAUUCUCAUGGUUUUAGUGCUUGAAUAGUUGUGUGUGUGUGUGUGUGUGUGUGUGUGUGUGUUUGUGUGUAUAAGUAUCAUAUAUAGCAUAACAUAUAUUAAUAUAUAUUUAUAUUACUUGAUCCAACCAUCUGCCAAUGAGCACCUUUGUUAACUCCUUAUCAUACUUCUCUUGAAUAUUGAGGUAUUUCCACAGCCUGCCAUUUUCUCACAUACAUUUUGUAAUUCUCUUUCUCUGGUUUCGAUAGUGUCAUUUUCUUUGAACCUCAGUCCUCUCAUCUAUAAUCUAGGGGUUAGACUAAAAUCACAGCCAUUGAUUCUGUGAUGUCAGAGAUGUUGGUGACACUCUGCUCCUGGAGCCUAAGUAGGCAGUGUGGGUAAGAAUGCUGGCUCUUCCUGGGAUGAACUGUGUAGUCUUUGUAUGAUAACCAAUUCAGUGAGACUGAAUUCCUUGCAUGGAAAAGAAGAAUAAUAUACGUACUUCAUAGGCUUAUAGGAAUCUUCUAGUAAAAUAAAUAAAGUUAGUUAUUUAGAUCACAUGAAG